rnacentral:rRNA from 1 species
UACGUAGGGGGCAAGCGUUGUCCGGAUUUAUUGGGCGUAAAGAGCGUGUAGGCGGUUUGGUAGGUCCGCUGUGAAAACUCGAGGCUCAACCUCGAGACGCCGGUGGAAACCAUCAGGCUAGAGUCCGGAAGAGGAGAAUGGAAUUCCUGGUGUAGCGGUGAAAUGCGCAGAUAUCAGGAAGAACACCCGUGGCUAAGGCGGUUCUCUAGUACGGUACUGACGCUGAGACGCGAAAGCGUGGGGAGCGAACAGG